rnacentral:rRNA from 1 species
AAAUUGAAGAGUUUGAUCAUGGCUCAGAUUGAACGCUGGCGGCAGGCCUAACACAUGCAAGUCGAGCGGCAGCGGAAAGUAGCUU